UUUUUUAUUUGUUUUAUUAAUUUUAUUUUUUUGGUGUGACAUUAUGUAUUAGUGAGAGUCAAGAGUGAAUUUAGUGAAGACCUUCUUCUAUUAAUAUUAUAUGACUUUUUAAUUUUAAUGAACAUUUUAAUUGAUUGUUAUACAUAAUUGUACAAAUCUAUCUAUGAUAUCUCUAGCAUCCCUAACAAAUUCAACAAUAUUCCAAUUUACAGCUAAAUUAUUAUAGCUUUAAUAUUGCAAUAUUAAAUGAAUGAAUACUUUGGUUAUAUGUUCUUUCUUUUUUCUUUCACAUGCAAAAAGUACACAAAACCCAAAAUCUGUUGUUUGGUCCAACUGGCAUGAGUGGAAUAGAGCCAUAAGAACGGUGAAAGAAUACUCCGCUGAAAGUACAUCGACAUCCAGCCACAAUGUAUCUGAGCCUGCACUACAGACUGCAUGUUGAGCGCAUUGUGCCUAACCACAGUCAGUUGUGUGGCGGACUGGCUGUCUAGAUCCCAUGCAAAGAGGCCCCACCUGUUCAGUCAAAGCGACAGACAUAAAGACAGAUGGACACACACAUCUCCAAGCCCAACCAAACACCUCCCAGACAUCACACUCUCCUGACACCAGGUGGGCAUCUGCAGAUUUUAAUAUCAGCAGAUCUUUCCAAAUUAGCACUAGCCAAAUUUCUACAACAGGGCCAAGUGGAGCUCAUGCGAAUGAUCCACUGAACCAAAUCUCAUAAAACAUUUUAAAUCUCUUGAAUACUUGACAACACAUUGUGUAGCUUUGUUGUGUAUAUUUUCAUUCUGAAAGUGUCCCAAAAAUCCACAAUAAAUAUCAUACUGUAUAUUAACAGGUUUAAAUCCGUAUAUAAGUUAUUUUUUCUUAAUAAAAUAAAAUUCACAAAUUAAGAGCAGAGGCAAAUUGUGAUGCCUAUGAAGAGAAGACAAUGGAAGACCCUUAUUAUGGAAAUAAUAAUGCAUCAUCUACCUUUUUGGGUUACAAAGAAAAUCUGAUUCUUUGAUGAUGACAAAUAUGUAUUUUUUAAAUUUCUCCACAAAUAUAAAUCAAAAUGCAUACUAAAUGGAAAAUAGACUAAUUUACUAAUACACUAAUUUGGACCUAGUAGCAUGAGCAAAACGAUUAGAUUGGCGAAAGGGUUAUAAUGAUUCUCAUGCACAAUGUAUGUUUAACGUCCAUGUUCAAACUGUUUGUAUUUUUCAGAAACAAAAAAACUAAAUCUUUGCUGGAAA